rnacentral:tRNA from 1 species
GCAGGGGUGGCAGAGCAUGGUCAAACCCGCACUAAGCAAAGAUUGGGGCUAAAUGCGCGGGACUCAAGAUCCCGUCCCAUAGGGGUUCGUGGGUUCAAAUCCCACCCCCUGCA